UCUCAGACGACUAACACCAUGGUCCGUGUACGGAUCUGGUAAUUGGAUAUUCCGUUCUGAAACAGGUGGAAGCUGAAUUAGUGAGGAUGACUCCUGCUCCUGUCAUCUCUAAGCUCCUCACACAUCUUUACCUGCACAUGAGGAAAAUCACUCCUGUAGAAUGCAGAUGUUCAGAAGGAGAUGAUGCCACAUCUGGUCCAGACGAUGGAAGGUCUUGAAGUUCUCUGACUGGCCUCGACUGAAGAUGGUCGUCUCACUGGAUUUAAGGUUCAGAUGCUCAGUAACAAACUCCACCAAUGAGCCAACAGGGAAGCUUUAGGUUUAUUAAAUGUUGCUAUGAAGGUUUCGCUGUUUUUCUUUGUGAAUGCAAUGUGCUCCAACUGAAACUUGAAUUAGAACUUAGAAGUAAAUCCUUCCAUCUGAAAGGUUUUAGUUGCAUUAAUAACCUCAUAACAUUCUAAUUUUUAUUCCAGUCUUGGUUGGAAAUAGAAUCUCUGGAUUGAUUCAGGUAAAAACUGAACUUCACAGCAUGUUGCAGCAAAACAACCAGAUGAAAACUGUGAUGGUGUUGGAUUGUCAGACCGUAAUGUUGCAGCUCAAAGCAGCUUUUCUAGCUCAGUUCAUUCUGACAUUCAGCUAUGAAUCAACACAGCAGAUGGUGAUCCAUGCUGUGGAAGUCUCACAUCUCCUGAUUUAAUGGAGCUGCUUUGCACUUUUUACACUGUUUAUUCACCAACACUUUAUUUAAUAAAAGUCCCAUCUAGUUUUUAUGAGGAAUGUGAUGCUUUAAUUUCUCUGUGAAUAACUGCAGUCUAAUGCAACAGCUGGAAUUGUAACAUCUGUCCUGAUAUUGAUCAUGAAGUAUUGAUCAGAAUACUUAUGGUCAGCAGUCAUCCCUGAAGUUUUACUUUAAAAUCUUUACUUGUGAUGUGAACUUUGGUAAGAAGCAGAAACUUUUGCGUUGCCAUGGAUACAUGAGUGUUAAAUUCUGUCCAUGUUUCCAUUUUGGGAAAUUCAGUCCAGCAGAUGAGUUUGUUUUUACUGCCAGCUACCAUUCAGUCUGAGAUAUUAAGAAUAAAUAAAUAUGUAUAAUGUGGAAAUUAACAGAGUUUAUUUUUAUUUAUUCCUACACCUGCUGCAUUUAAAGUUCCAGAAUGUGGAGGAAUUUAGGAUCACAAUAACAGACAAUAAUAUUAUCUGAAAGUCGGGUUAUUGUUGUUUAUCAGCACAAUACAAAAAGAUUAAUGUUAGAAAUAUUCCAGUUAAGACUCUAGAAUAUCAUGAUUUAUCUAAAUUUACCUCAAUAAUAUGAAUGUUCAGGUUAAGAUUGUACAGUGAUAUUUAUUAUGUAAG
ensembl:lncRNA